UACGGAGGGGACUAGCGUUGUUCGGAAUUACUGGGCGUAAAGCGCACGUAGGCGGAUUUGUAAGUCAGGGGUGAAAUCCCGGGGCUCAACCUCGGAACUGCCUUUGAUACUGCAAAUCUCGAGUCCGGAAGAGGUGAGUGGAAUUCCUAGUGUAGAGGUGAAAUUCGUAGAUAUUAGGAAGAACACCAGUGGCGAAGGCGGCUCACUGGUCCGGUACUGACGCUGAGGCACGAAAGCGUGGGGAUCAAACAGG
rnacentral:rRNA from 1 species